rnacentral:rRNA from 1 species
CCUACGGGUGGUUGCAGUGGGGAAUAUUGGACAAUGGGCGAAAGCCUGAUCCAGCCAUGCCGCGUGUGUGAAGAAGGCCUUCGGGUUGUAAAGCACUUUCAGUGGGGAAGAAAGCCUUGGGGCUAAUACCCUCGAGGAAGGACAUCACCCACAGAAGAAGCACCGGCUAACUCCGUGCCAGCAGCCGCAGUAAUACGGAGGGUGCGAGCGUUAAUCGGAAUUACUGGGCGUAAAGCGCGCGUAGGCGGUCUGAUAAGCCGGUUGUGAAAGCCCCGGGCUCAACCUGGGAACGGCAUCCGGAACUGUCAGGCUAGAGUGCAGGAGAGGAAGGUAGAAUUCCCGGUGUAGCGGUGAAAUGCGUAGAGAUCGGGAGGAAUACCAGUGGCGAAGGCGGCCUUCUGGACUGACACUGACGCUGAGGUGCGAAAGCGUGGGUAGCAAACAGGAUUAGAUACCCCAGUAGUC